rnacentral:pre_miRNA from 1 species
UUUCUACUCCCUUCGUCCGAAAAUACUUGUCAGCAAAAUGGAUAAAAAGAGAUGUAUCUAAAACUAAAAUACGUCUAGAUACAUUUCCUUUUAUCCAUUUUGAUGACAAGUAUUUCCGGACGGACGGAGUAUUUG